rnacentral:rRNA from 1 species
AACGAACGCUGGCGGCAUGCCUAACACAUGCAAGUCGAACGAGACCUUCGGGUCUAGUGGCGCACGGGUGCGUAACGCGUGGGAACCUGCCCUUAGGUUCGGAAUAACUCCCCGAAAGGGGUGCUAAUACCGGAUAAUGUCUUCGGACCAAAGAUUUAUCGCCUUUGGAUGGGCCCGCGUUGGAUUAGCUAGUUGGUAGGGUAAAAGCCUACCAAGGCGACGAUCCAUAGCUGGUCUGAGAGGAUGAUCAGCCACACUGGGACUGAGACACGGCCCAGACUCCUACGGGAGGCAGCAGUGGGGAAUAUGGGACAAUGGGCGAAAGCCUGAUCCAGCAAGGCCGCGGGAGUGAUGAAGGCCUUAGGGUGGUAAAGCUCUUUUACCCGGGAUGAUAAUGACAGUACCGGGAGAAUAAGCUCCGGCUAACUCCGU